rnacentral:rRNA from 1 species
UACGGAGGGAGCUAGCGUUGUUCGGAAUUACUGGGCGUAAAGCGCACGUAGGCGGCUUUGUAAGUCAGAGGUGAAAGCCUGGAGCUCAACUCCAGAACUGCCUUUGAGACUGCAUCGCUUGAAUCCAGGAGAGGUGAGUGGAAUUCCGAGUGUAGAGGUGAAAUUCGUAGAUAUUCGGAAGAACACCAGUGGCGAAGGCGGCUCACUGGACUGGCAUUGACGCUGAGGUGCGAAAGCGUGGGGAGCAAACAGG